CAAAAUACUGCAUAUUUUCCAAGGAACGCGAAGCGAGGGGGCCAUCUCGGUCGGCGCCAUCUUUUGUCAAGAGAAGCUCUGCCUGUUCUGUUUACAUCGCCACAGUCCCAAUUUGCUGAGAUCCAAAAUUUCUUCCAAUAAGGUGAAGGUGGUGAGCUUCAAGCCAGACUUGGCCCAGAUGGACUUGUACAUCCUAAGCCAGUCUGACCACUUCGUUGGGAAUUGUGUGUCCUCCUCUUCCUGCUUUUGUCAAACGAGACCGUGAUGUCCAUGCCCGGUCGUCGUCUUUCUUCGGGAAUGGACUACGCUGGAAAAUUU